rnacentral:tRNA from 1 species
CGCGGGGUGGAGCAGCUUGGUAGCUCGUCGGGCUCAUAACCCGAAGGUCGUUGGUUCAAAUCCAGCCCCCGCGACCA